rnacentral:rRNA from 1 species
CGCCAGACUCCUACGGGAGGCAGCAGUGGGGAAUAUUGCACAAUGGGGGAAACCCUGAUGCAGCGACGCCGCGUGAGCGAUGAAGUAUUUCGGUAUGUAAAGCUCUAUCAGCAGGGAAGAAAAUGACGGUACCUGACUAAGAAGCCCCGGCUAACUACGUGCCAGCAGCCGCGGUAAUACGUAGGGGGCAAGCGUUAUCCGGAUUUACUGGGUGUAAAGGGAGCGUAGACGGCUGUGCAAGCCAGAUGUGAAAGCCCGGGGCUCAACCCCGGGACUGCAUUUGGAACUGUGUGGCUGGAGUGUCGGAGAGGCAGGCGGAAUUCCUAGUGUAGCGGUGAAAUGCGUAGAUAUUAGGAGGAACACCAGUGGCGAAGGCGGCCUGCUGGACGAUGACUGACGUUGAGGCUCGAAAGCGUGGGGAGCAAACAGGAUUAGAUACCCCCGUACCG